GACGAACGCUGGCGGCGUGCUUAACACAUGCAAGUCGAGCGGUAAGGCCCUUUUGGGGGUACACGAGCGGCGAACGGGUGAGUAACACGUGGGUGACCUGCCCUCAGCUCUGGGAUAAGCCUGGGAAACUGGGUCUAAUACUGGAUAUGACCUUUCCUCGCAUGGGGUUGGGUGGAAAGUUUUUCGGCUGGGGAUGGGCCCGCGGCCUAUCAGCUUGUUGGUGGGGUGAUGGCCUACCAAGGCGACGACGGGUAGCCGGCCUGAGAGGGCGACCGGCCACACUGGGACUGAGACACGGCCCAGACUCCCACGGGAGGCAGCAGUGGGGAAUAUUGCGCAAUGGGCGGAAGCCUGACGCAGCGACGCCGCGUGGGGGAUGACGGCC
rnacentral:rRNA from 1 species